rnacentral:rRNA from 1 species
AUACGUAGGGGGCAAGCGUUAUCCGGAUUUACUGGGUGUAAAGGGAGCGCAGACGGAAGAUCAAGUCAGGUGUGAAAGGCAUGGGCUCAACCUGUGGACUGCACUUGAAACUGGUCAUCUCGAGUGUCGGAAGGGCAGGCGGAAUUCCUGGUGUAGCGGUGAAAUGCGUAGAUAUCAGGAAGAACACCGGUGGCGAAGGCGGCCUGCUGGACGAUAACUGACGUUGAGGCUCGAAGGCGUGGGGAGCAAACAGGACUAGAUACCCUGGUAGUCCACGCAGUAAACGAUGAAUACUAGGUGCUGGGUCCCACAGGGGUUCGGUGCCGCCGCUAACGCAUUAAGUAUUCCACCUGGGGAGUACGUUCGCAAGAAUGAAACUCAAAUGAAUUGACGGGG